rnacentral:rRNA from 1 species
CCUACGGGAGGCAGCAGUGGGGAAUUUUGGACAAUGGACGAAAGUCUGAUCCAGCAACGCUGCGUGAAGGACGAAGGUUUUCGGAUUGUAAACUUCUUUUGCAGGGGAAGAAAAAAAUGACGGUACCCUGUGAAUAAGCCACGGCUAACUACGUGCCAGCAGCCGCGGUAAGACGUAGGUGGCGAGCGUUACUCGGAAUUACUAGGCGUAAAGCGUACGUAGGCGGAAGUUUAAGUCUGUUGUGUAAUCUCCAAGCUCAACUUGGAAACUGCAACAGAAACUGGGCUUCUUGAGUGAGGCAGAGGAAAACGGAAUUCCUGGUGUAGCAGUGAAAUGCGUAGAUAUCAGGAGGAACACCGGUGGCGAAGGCGGUUUUCUGGGCCUUUACUGACGCUAAAGUACGAAAGCUAGGGGAGCAAACGGGAUUAGAUACCCCGGUAGUCCUAGCCGUAAACGAUGAUAACUAGGUGUGGGAGGUAUCGACCCCUUCCGUGCCGACGCUAACGCAUUAAGUUAUCCGCCUGGGGAGUACGGCCGCAAGGUUAAAACUCAAAGGAAUUGACGG